GCGGGUGUAGUUCAAUGGUAGAAUGUCAGCCUUCCAAGCUGAAAACGUGGGUUCGAUUCCCAUCACCCGCUCCA
rnacentral:tRNA from 4 species